rnacentral:rRNA from 1 species
UACGUAGGGGCCGAGCGUUGUCCGGAAUUACUGGGCGUAAAGCGCGCGCAGGCGGCUGAUCAAGCCUGACGUGAAAGCCCCCGGCUCAACCGGGGAGAGUCGUCGGGGACUGGUUGGCUUGAGGGCGGUAGGGGCCGGUGGAAUUCCCGGUGUAGUGGUGAAAUGCGUAGAUAUCGGGAGGAACACCAGUGGCGAAGGCGGCUUCCUGGCCUGUUCUUGACGCUGAGGCGCGAAAGCUAGGGGAGCAAACGGG